AAAUAGUCUCUAGCUUUUAGAGACUAUUUUGAGAUCUCACGCCUACGCAGUAGUAUAAUUCAAACUAUGAAGCAAUAUUGUACUAGUAGAAGAAAACAUUACAUAUCUGUAACAGUGGAAGUUUUUAAGAUCCUGGGAAAAAUGCAUUACUAACUGUAUGGGAACUGUUAGGUCACAGCUUGAACCAGUGACUGAGCACCUGGUGAAGGGGCAUAGUAAGCCCUAGGAGCACAGGCGGAAGCAAUUCACCUGUGCUACCAGAAGGGGUAUAUCCUGGCUCCACCUCUCCCUAAGUUUGUUUAAGGGCUGGGAGCUGCAAGGGAAAUGUCUCUGCUUGGUGGUUGCCUGCUUUGGAGAGUUUGGUAAACCCUAAUCCUUAGAAAGGGGGUGGAGACUGAAGGGAGGAGGAAAAUAUCUGAGUACGUGGAAGAAAAACACAUUAAAUAAGGCAUCGCUAAGAUGUGUAUAAUUCAUGCGCAGAGUAUAUAGUAAUACAGGAAGAACUGGACCAGAAAUUGAAUGAGCUGAUGGCAUGCUGGAUGGUUUCCCCGAAAUAUGGGUGUCAUUGGUUAAAGUGCAUCUGUUGCACUUCAUCUGAUACUAAAAAUCUAUUCUCAGUAUUAGCUGUACUUCCACCUGCCAAGAAAAGAAAUGCAUAGCUUCCUUUAUUCUAUGGUGAAACAGGGUGAUUUAGACACGGUUUGUACAAUAUGUGCCAGAAACAAUAGAAAAGCCUUUAACUGAAUACUUCCAUAUAUUUAGGUGAUCUCCUACAGUAUAUUACUUCUACUGGCUUAUGUCCCUUUUGGAUUGCAAAUAAAAAUGUAAUUAUGAGAAGUUAACAAAACUUUAUAUUAUAGGUGAAGCCAUUAGAUCAGCCUUUUUCCAUUACUUUUGUUACUAUUCUCUUAAGAGGGGUGGGAAAAAGUAAUAUUAAAGGAAAAACACCUCAAUUUUAGUGGUGUGUUUUUUUGGCUGUACGCUCUAUAACACCAAGUGUCAUAGUAAAACUGUCCAUUAAAAUGCUGUUGC
ensembl:lncRNA